GAAUUCGCCCUUAGAGUUUGAUCCUGGCUCACGACAAACGCUGGCGGCGUGCCUAACACAUGCAAGUCGAACGAGAAUCGCCGGAUAGAGGCUUCGGCCAAUUGAAUGCGAGGACAGUGGCGGACGGGUGAGUAAUGCAUGAGCAAUCUGCCUUGGAGUGGGGGACAACAGUUGGAAACGACUGCUAAUACCGCAUGAAGUUAUCGGAGGGCAUCCUCUGGUAACCAAAGAUUUAUCGCUCUGAGAUGAGCUCAUGUCUGAUUAGAUAGUUGGCGGGGUAACGGCCCACCAAGUCUGCGAUCAGUAGCCGGACUGAGAGGUUGAACGGCCACAUUGGGACUGAGAUACGGCCCAGACUCCUACGGGAGGCAGCAGUGGGGAAUAUUGGGCAAUGGGCGCAAGCCUGACCCAGCAACGCCGCGUGAAGGAAGAAGGCUUUCGGGUUGUAAACUUCUUUUAUCAUGGACGAAAACGAUGACGGUACCUGAAGAAUAAGCCACGGCUAACUACGUGCCAGCAGCCGCGGUAAUACGUAGGUGGCAAGCGUUGUCCGGAUUUACUGGGUGUAAAGGGCGCGUAGGCGGGAAUCCACGUCAGGUGUGAAAUCUAUGGGCUCAACCCAUAAACUGCACUUGAAACUGCAUUUCUUGAGUGUCGGAGAGGUAGAUGGAAUUCCUAGUGUAGCGGUGAAAUGCGUAGAUAUUAGGAGGAACACCAGUGGCGAAGGCGAUCUACUGGACGAUAACUGACGCUGAGGCGCGAAAGCGUGGGGAGCAAACAGGAUUAGAUACCCCGGUAGUCCACGCCGUAAAC
rnacentral:rRNA from 1 species